AAUGAAUGAUGACAAAAUGUUUCGGUCCCAAAUGAUACAUACUGAUUAUACCGUUUUAUCCUGACAUU
rnacentral:snoRNA from 8 species